rnacentral:rRNA from 1 species
GGAGGAAUAUUGCACAAUGGGCGAAAGCCUGAUGCAGCGACGCCGCGUGAGCGAAGAAGGCCUUCGGGUCGUAAAGCUCUUUUCCGAGGGAAGAGGAAGGACGGUACCUCGGGAAUAAGUCUCGGCUAACUACGUGCCAGCAGCCGCGGUAAAACGUAGGAGGCGAGCGUUAUCCGGAAUUACUGGGCGUAAAGGGCAAGUAGGCGGUAGCCAAAGUUGGGUGUGACAAAUCUCGGCUCAACUGAGAGGGGACGCUCAAAACUAGGUUACUGGAGGGCAGGAGAGGGGAGCGGAAUUCCUAAUGUAGCGGUGGAAUGCUCAGAUAUUAGGAAGAACACCAGUGGCGAAGGCGGCUCUCUGGGCCUGGUACCUGACGCUGAGAGGCGAAAGCUAGGGGAGCGAACGGGCUUAGAUACCCCGGUAGUCCAAGCUGUAAACAUUGGAUACUGGGUAUUGGGGGUUAAAUCUCCGCAGUGCCGAAGCGAACGCGUUAAGUAUCCGCCUGGGGACUACGGCCGCAAAGG